AACAUGGAGAAAGCACAAGUUUGAAAGACGAGCUCUUCAGUGCCUUUGGACAUACCGAGUUUGAGGUGCCAACAGGGCACGUAGGUGGAAAUGCGCAGGAGACAAUUGGAAAUGUGGGCCUGGGUGUCACAGACAAGUCCAGGCUUCUGCUUUACAGGUGGGCCCUGAUUCCAACGACAAGUGCCCCUGUGAGGGACAGAAGGGGAGAAGACACAGAGAGAACUUGAGAAGGCCAUUUGGAGACAAGGAUGGAAGUGACACAGACCAAAACCCCUGGCAUCACCCAGAGUUGGAAGGGAAAAUCAAUGAAGAUUUCAGUACCGAUGUCUUUCUCCAUCAUUUAAGCCAAGACUGUGGAGCCCACAUGGCCCCAGGGAUUAUGAGGGAGAUCUUUCCUGGGAGCCACACCUCCUGCUCUUGCACCCAGGCCAAGUGACGAGAGGGUCUGUGACCCAGCUGGGCAGCAAGUGGCAAAGGAGAGAGCCGUCUCCAGGCCCCAUCCUCGUGACUGCUGUGCGAACAAGCUGCUGAUUUAGACUGUCCUUCUAAAUUCCAGUGACAGAGAGGGCUGGCUCUCCUCAGAGGGUCGCAAGGGGUUGGCUCUCAGCAGCCAGGAGACAGGACCAACCAGGGGACCUCAGGGUAAUGUGCCCUUGGGAAUGGAGGCCCCCAGCUUUCCCCUGGCCCUGCUGGACUUCCUGAGUGGAGAUUGGAGCUCGGGCAGAGACCCCCGCCUCCAGGACAGGUCU